GAUGAACGCUAGCUACAGGCUUAACACAUGCAAGUCGAGGGGAAACGGCAUUAAGUGCUUGCACUUUUUGGACGUCGACCGGCGCACGGGUGAGUAACGCGUAUCCAACCUUCCCAUGACUAAGGGAUAACCUGCCGAAAGGCAGACUAAUACCUUAUGGUCUUCACUGACGGCAUCAGAUGUAAAGUAAAGAUUUAUCGGUUAUGGAUGGGGAUGCGUCUGAUUAGCUUGUUGGCGGGGUAACGGCCCACCAAGGCAACGAUCAGUAGGGGUUCUGAGAGGAAGGUCCCCCACAUUGGAACUGAGACACGGUCCAAACUCCUACGGGAGGCAGCAGUGAGGAAUAUUGGUCAAUGGGCGAGAGCCUGAACCAGCCAAGUAGCGUGCAGGAUGACGGCCCUAUGGGUUGUAAACUGCUUUUGUAUGGGGAUAAAGUCAAUCACGUGUGAUUGUUUGCAGGUACCAUACGAAUAAGGACCGGCUAAUUCCGUG
rnacentral:rRNA from 1 species